GUUCAGAGAGGACUUCUUCCUGAUUUUAUGUGUAACCUUUGUGCAUGAUAGGAAAUCCUACAACCAGUCUCUAAAGCUUGCAUUAGUAACAAUUGUAAUUAAGUAUUUUGGCAUUAUUCAAAUUAGUCCUCGGUCAACGGACUAUUUUGAAGCAACACCAAAUGUGCCAUUAGUAUUUGAAUAUUGCCUUUCCAGAUUAGAGAAGGAAGCUAAGAGGUUUGUUCCACACAUAUUUUAAAGAAUAUUAAUAGCCGUGAGCAACAAAUAGGCUAUUGGAUGGGAGUUUCCUAAGUAGCGCUUGAUGAUUUUUGAACAUAUAUGCACAAAAUUACUAAAACAAUUAUGUUGGCUUGGAGGCUGGAACUAAUAUGGGAAUGGGAAUCAAUCUUGGUUCAUUUGGACUUGACGUAUUUUUCUCUUUUGUGGAAGUUUUUUUAAGUGUUUGUAAAAAUUUUAUAUAUUUAUUAACUUUUUGUGUAAGAUGGGGUUUGAUGCACAAUCAACUUGUUGUUAAACUGUUGAUGCAAUAUCUGACUUCAAAAAGAGGUCAGUCCAUGUCAAUUAUCUCAAGAUAUUAAUUAAAAGUCUAUAUUUCAUCUUUACGACUCAACUAUUUUCAGUAAUAUUCAUCAUAUGGACAUUGACAUAUUGGUGCCUAACAUUUUUGGUUGUGGAUAAUCUAUAGGAUUGCUAGUUUCAAUGGUGGUCUCUAGGAUCAAUACAUGAUUUUGAUUAUAGUUUCAGCUGAAGCAAAUGAGUGUCAAUUUUGCAAGUUUGAAUAACUUUAUAUCUAUUUUCAAUUAUUUUCAUUUAAAAACUAUAAUGAAUCAAAAAUACUAACUAUAACUAGGAA
rnacentral:lncRNA from 1 species